AAAUGAAUAGACGGGGGCCCGCACAAGCGGUGGAGCAUGUGCUUUAAUUCGAUGCAACGCGAAGAACCUUACCUGGAUUUGACAUGGGGGUGAAAGGUCGCAGAGAUGUGAUCCCUUCCGCAAGGAACACCCCGCACAGGUGCUGCAUGGUUGUCGUCAGCUCGUGUCGUGAGAUGUUAGGUUAAGUCCUGCAACGAGCGCAACCCUUGCCCUUAGUUGCUAACAGGUCAUGCUGAGAACUCUAAGGGGACCGCCUGGUUUAACCAGGAGGAAGGUGGGGAUGACGUCAAAUCCUCAUGGCCCUUACGUCCAGGGCUAGACACGUGCUACAAUGGUAGAAACAGCGGGAUGCAAGCUGGUGACAGCAAGCUAAUCCCUCAAAAUCUAUCUCAGUCCGGAUUGAAGUCUGCAAUUCGACUUCAUGAAGCUGGAAUCGCUAGUAAUCGCGGAUCAGCAUGCCGCGGUGAAUACGUUCCCGGGCCUUGUACACACCGCCCGU
rnacentral:rRNA from 1 species